UUGACCUCGGAUCAGGUAGGAAUACCCGCUGAACUUAAGCAUAUCAAUAAGCGGAGGAAAAGAAACCAACAGGGAUUGCCCUAGUAACGGCGAGUGAAGCGGCAACAGCUCAAAUUUGAAAUCUGGCUCUCGGGCCCGAGUUGUAAUUUGUAGAGGAUGCUUUUGGCAAGGUGCCUUCCGAGUUCCCUGGAACGGGACGCCAUAGAGGGUGAGAGCCCCGUCUGGUUGGACACCGAGCCUCUGUAAAGCUCCUUCGACGAGUCGAGUAGUUUGGGAAUGCUGCUCUAAAUGGGAGGUAUAUGUCUUCUAAAGCUAAAUACUGGCCAGAGACCGAUAGCGCACAAGUAGAGUGAUCGAAAGAUGAAAAGCACUUUGAAAAGAGAGUUAAAAAGCACGUGAAAUUGUUGAAAGGGAAGCGCUUAUGACCAGACUUGGGCUUGGUUGAUCAUCCGGCGUUCUCGCCGGUGCACUCUUCCAGUUCAGGCCAGCAUCAGUUUGCCUCGGGGGAUAAAAGUA
rnacentral:rRNA from 1 species